rnacentral:rRNA from 1 species
UAUCUCUGUAGAGUCUGCAUAUCAAUAAGCGGAGGAAAAGAAACUAACUAGGAUUCCCUUAGUAACGGCGAGUGAAGCGGGAAGAGCUCAAAUUUGAAAUCUUCAAGGUUCUACCUUGACGAAUUGUAGUUUAAAGAAGUGUUUUCUGUUAGAUGAGUUAGGCUAAAAGUUCCUUGGAAUAGGGACAUCAUAGAGGGUGAGAAUCCAGUAUUUGACUUAUUCAUUCUAGCUUUGUGAUACACUUUCAAAGAGUCGGAUUGUUUGGGAAUGCAGUCCAAAAUGGGUGGUAAAUUUCAUCUAAAGCUAAAUAUUGGCGAGAGACCGAUAGCGAACAAGUACCGUGAGGGAAAGAUGAAAAGAACUUUGAAAAGAGAGUUAAACAGUACGUGAAAUUGUCAAAAGGGAAGCGUUUGACACCAGUGUUGUUUUUCCAAAAAUCAAUUACGAAUGGCUUGAUUCUGUGUUGUAUUGACCUUAUCAGCUUUCUGCACUUUUUUCGAGUCUUUCUUAAUGCACUUUUCGGUUAACAAGUCAACAUCAAUUUCUUUUGUUGUAAAAGAGUAUUCGGAAGGUGGCUUUCUUUUCGGAGAAAGUGUUUAUAGCCCUAUACUUCUACAAUCGGAGAGAUUGAGGUCUGCAGCGUAGAUCCUUCGGGGUUAGAUACACUUGUGCUAAGUUGUAGCUUUUCAUAGACAACUUGUUGACUAUGUUUAGUCAUGCGGCUUACUCGCUUAUGCUAUUUUACCUACGCUUAGGAUGUUGAAGAUGUAGCACAUCAU